rnacentral:rRNA from 1 species
GAGCCCAGCGCUGAAUCCUGCGGCCCCGGCGGGCCGCCGGGAAAUGUAGCGUUCGGGAGGAGAACUAUACAUACACGCGCGGUCAUUAGUCACGGCUGCCAGUCCAAGUUCAUCUUGAACGGGGCCGUUUACCCGUAGAGGGUGCCAGGCCCGUGGUGACGGUAGCCGGCCGCGACGGUCUCUCUCCCCAGAGUCGGGUUGCUUGAGAGUGCAGCCCUAAGCGGGUGGUAGACUCCAUCUAAGGC